rnacentral:rRNA from 1 species
GUGUACAGUCAUAUCACCUUGAACAUGUCCAAUCUUGUGUGAUCUCAGAAGUUAAGUAAGGUCAGGCCUUUUUAAUACUUGGAUGAAAGACAUAAAACAGAUUUAGGGAUUUGGAAUCU